UGGGCGCGCCUCCUAGAGAGCCACACCAGUGUGUCGUAGCUCACUGAUUGAGAACCAUGCCGCUGCUUCUGCUGGGCUGCCUCCAAAUUAUUGGGUGCAAACAUCAGAGUUGUGUCUGUAUCCUGCUAGUGUCUGCUCCUCAGAGGCCUGAUCUACAUGCAUUCACCUCCUAGGUAUGCCGAAAUGAUGCCCAAUGCUGUACCUGUAGAAAUCUCAGCUACCACCACCUUUCAGGGCAGAUGUGGACACUUUCAGAGAAAAAAAUAUCCUAUGAGGCCAGGAGGGUUCUUCCUAUGAAUUUUUUUUUCUCCAAAGAUAUUGUCAACUGGAUUACACAUUUUCCAAAUAAAAUCUCUUAUAUAAGCUUUCCUUGGGAUUUAUCUUUAUUGAAAGUCAUACAACUUCAGAUACAGGCUGAUUUGACCAAACAAAUGACUGUGACUCAGUCUUCUGGUUGACCAUUAUCAUGGAAGAAAACUCAGGUAAUUUCAGGUGUUCAAAAGGACACAUCUGUAAACUGUUUAUACCUCCACUCUACAGAGUGGGUUGGAGAACAGAGAGAAAAGGAUCGAUAGUUUAUAAAGUGACCCUACUCAAAUGGCAUUUGCACUCAAGAACUGAAAGGUAUGUGAGCAGGGCCAAUGGAACAGAUUUGGGAUUUAAAGACACUCUUGCUUAAAUUGCAGUAGGUAGCAGUUCUCAAUUUUGGAUUAUGAAGAUGAUGAAGGAGAAGAAUAGUGUGAAGCUUAGGGGAGGAAUAUAAGGGCAAGGGAAUAAAAUGGGAAUGUUACAUUCAAGCAAGAGUGCUUGCCAUCGCCCUUGUUUUCUGUCAUUGGACUAAGCUAGGCAGCCAGAACACUGUGGCUUUUGAGGUAUAUCAGUUAGUCUAGUUCUUCCCAGACCUCUCUUGGAGAGAUUAAAAAAUGUUGAUGAUUCAGUUCCACUCUCUUAUAGUCUGAAUUAAUAGUCCCAGAAUGAGGGUGUCUUUUGCUUAUUUUACUUUCCCUGGUUGAUUUUAUAGUCAAGCCAGGGCUGAGAGCCAAGUGAUAUAACCAAAAUAUGAGGGGAC
rnacentral:lncRNA from 1 species